rnacentral:tRNA from 4 species
AGUCCUGAGGUGGCUACCACGUUGAAUUGCAAGUUCAAAGAAGCAGCUUCAAUACUGCCGGGGCUU